rnacentral:lncRNA from 1 species
CUUGGUUAUCAACCUAAUGAGAGGACAAACAGGUACUUAUAGAUUUUGUCCGUUCUGAAGGAGAUGGCAAGCUCCUUAUGGAGCACGGAGAUUAGGGCAAUGAAACAGUUGCCUGCGAAGCUCCACUAGAUGAAGCUGGUAGUGCCAUUGGAUGUUGUUCGCAAGAGGGAUGAAGGCGACAGCCGACAGCUCAAGUUACAGAGGUAGAAUUUGAGAACCAUGUGCUUAAGUUAC